GUGUGUUCCAGGUAAAUCCGGUUCACUUUAACACUGAGGCGUGAUGACGAGGCACUACGGUGCUGAAGCAACAAAUGCCCUGCUUCCAGGAAAAGCCUCUAAGCAUCAGGUAACAUCAAAUCGUACCCCAAACCGACACAGGUGGUCAGGUAGAGAAUACCAAGGCGCUUGAGAGAACUCGGGUGAAGGAACUAGGCAAAAUGGUGCCGUAACUUCGGGAGAAGGCACGCUGACAUGUAGGUGAAGUGAUUUACUCAUGGAGCUGAAGUCAGUCGAAGAUACCAGCUGGCUGCAACUGUUUAUUAAAAACACAGCACUGUGCAAACACGAAAGUGGACGUAUACGGUGUGACGCCUGCCCGGUGCCGGAAGGUUAAUUGAUGGGGUCAGCGCAAGCGAAGCUCCUGAUCGAAGCCCCGGUAAACGGCGG
rnacentral:rRNA from 1 species